CCUACGGGAGGCUGCAGUGGGGGAUAUUGCACAAUGGGGGGAACCCUGAUGCAGCGACGCCGCGUGGGUGAAGAAGCGCCUCGGCGCGUAAAGCCCUGUCAGCAGGGAAGAAAAUGACGGUACCUGAAGAAGAAGCCCCGGCUAACUACGUGCCAGCAGCCGCGGUAAUACGUAGGGGGCAAGCGUUAUCCGGAUUUACUGGGUGGAAAGGGGGCGCAGACGGCGAUGCAAGCCAGGAGUGAAAGCCCGGGGCCCAACCCCGGGGAUGCUCUUGGAACUGCGUGGCUGGAGUGCAGGAGGGGCAGGCGGAAUUCCUGGUGGAGCGGUGAAAUGCGUAGAUAUCAGGAGGAACACCGGUGGCGAAGGCGGCCUGCUGGACUGCAACUGACGUUGAGGCCCGAAAGCGUGGGGAGCAAACAGGAUUAGAUACCCCUGUAGUC
rnacentral:rRNA from 1 species